rnacentral:rRNA from 1 species
GCGGUCGGCCAGAGAGUUACGGGAAACACCCAGUCUCAUUCCGAACCUGGAAGUUAAGCCGUAACUCGUUUCUGGCGGUAGUGUGGUCCUCGGCCACGCAAGACCAGAAAGCCGACCGCC